UGAACUUCAGGCACGAAAUGAGUUGGUCUUAGCACUUAAAGAGAGAAUUAAAGUUGUCCCUGAUGGUGUAACAACCAAAACUCAACCGAUAACUGGUUUGGAAUCAUCAAGUUCAAAUAGAAAAAUCAUAUUUGACUCAAUGCAAGAUGAAACGUUUGAUAACAACUACUACCAACAUACUGAUGACACCAAUAAAUUUAGAGAAGAAUAUGAAAUGCGAAGAUUGCAACAGGACGAAGGGUUGGAUGUGAUUGCAGAAGGACUUGGUACUCUGAAAAACAUGGCUCAGGACAUGCAAGAGGAAGUUGAUAGACAAGUGCCAUUGAUAGAUGAAAUUGAUGACAAGGU